rnacentral:sRNA from 1 species
ACACCGCUGCGGGGCGGGACGCAGCACUUGGACGAACGAACGGGACAGGCACCUCAUGACGCUGGCAACACACCCACAUUUCACCCGCA